CUCCUACGGGGGGCAGCAGUAGGGGAUCUUCCACAAUGGGCGAAAGCCUGAUGGAGCAACGCCGCGUGGGUGAAGAAGGUCUUCGGAUCGUAAAACCCUGUUGUUAGAGAAGAAAGUGCGUGAGAGUAACUGUUCACGUUUCGACGGUAUCUAACCAGAAAGCCACGGAUAACUACGUGCCAGAAGCCGCGGUAAUACGUAGGUGGCAAGCGUUAUCGGGUUUUAUUGGGCGUAAAGGGAACGCAGGCGGUCUUUUAAGUCUGAUGUGAAAGCCUUGGGCUUAACCGGAGCAGUGCAUUGG
rnacentral:rRNA from 1 species